GUGAAUCAUCGAAUCUUUGAACGCAAAUUGCACUCUCUUCGGAGAGUAUGCCUGUUUGAGGGUCAGUAUUAAUAAAAAUCGGUGUGUUGCUUCUUUGUGACGCUCCGGAGUUUGGGUCAUCUUAAUAUAUCCUUUAGGUUUUAAGAGGCUUAAAAUUGACUUUUUUUUGCGCAUUUUAUUAGAUGUACAUAAAUUUUUUUUUUUUUUUUGGUUUUUUUAAAUUCUUAAAUUCUUAUUGGAUCAA
rnacentral:misc_RNA from 1 species